rnacentral:rRNA from 1 species
GACGAACGCUGGCGGCAUGCUUAACACAUGCAAGUCGAACGGAAAGGCCCUGCUUUUGUGGGGUGCUCGAGUGGCGAACGGGUGAGUAACACGUGAGUAACCUGCCCUUGACUUUGGGAUAACUUCAGGAAACUGGGGCUAAUACCGGAUAGGAGCUCCUGCUGCAUGGUGGGGGUUGGAAAGUUUCGGCGGUUGGGGAUGGACUCGCGGCUUAUCAGCUUGUUGGUGGGGUAGUGGCUUACCAAGGCUUUGACGGGUAGCCGGCCUGAGAGGGUGACCGGCCACAUUGGGACUGCGAUACGGCCCAGACUCCUACGGGAGGCAGCAGUGGGGAAUAUUGCACAAUGGGCGGAAGCCUGAUGCAGCAACGCCGCGUGCGGGAUGACGGCCUUCGGGUUGAAAACCGCUUUCGCCUGUGACGAAGCGUGAGUGACGGUAAUGGGUAAAGAGGCACCGGCUAACUACGUG